ensembl:lncRNA
CGCGUAACGGCGGCGGCGGCGGGGGUCCCGUCGGGUUGGAGGCGGCCGUGUGCGCGCAGCCGGCUCUCGGUUGGGUUAAGGGAGCCCACCGCAGUGCGGUCGCUUGUGUGCGCUGCGCGGUACAGAAGCGCGCAGAUACGUUCUCCUGUAGCUACCGGGCUCCUUCUCCGGGGCUGCUGCGCUCAGAGCGUGCGCGGACGUUGCGCACCUCAUGAGUUGGUUCAGAUGCGCGCAGUCCCGCGGCUGCUACGGCCCGCACAGCGGCGGCUUUGCGAGCGCCUUUUAACAGGAGCUUAGGCCGCUUCUCAGCGCUGUGGAGAUCCACGAGCUGCUGUGUUUGUGAGGCGGUGUUUAAGCUGGCCCUGUUGCUGUCACCAGAAAGAAGAGAUCCAUCACCUGCUUCUCUUCUUCCUCUGCUAAAAGUUAGACCAGAAAAAUUCAAAGAAAGAAGACUUUGUAUCCUGUGGAAAAUGAGGCGGUGCUGUAGAGCGGGGGAGAUCAUUCCAGGAUGUGGCUGGAAGGUCCCAUCUCCUCCACUGGAAGUCUGCUCCUCGUAGAAAAAUCUCAUCUCUUGGAGGACAGAACAGCCAAGCUGUUUUAUUUGGGAGAAUUUUGUCCUCAGGUUCUCUUCUAAACUCAGCCACAGCUGUCCGCUGAACUGAUAAAUCCUUCAGAAGCUAUCAUGGCUGAUACCCCAAAUAGAAGUGCAGCUGUAAGGAGAUUCAAGGCCACAGAUUUACUGGUACGUUUCAGUGGCUACAAAUGUGCUUAACUGCCUGUAAACCUCAUAUUUGCU